AGACCAGAAAUGCCAACAGUUGAGGCCCCUUGUAGUGCAAUUUGUGUCAGUCUUGGGGGAGUGGAUUUGGAGCCCAACCUCCAUUUAGGAAAAUCCAUCUGAUGGACAUGAGCCUCACUCAGGUUCUCAUCUACUUCCCUGGGGUCUGCCCCGCCUCCCUCAGGAGUUUGGAACCACAUACUGUUGUGGAGGGGACCUGUCACUGCUGCCGAACCCAUCCUCCAGGGUAACCACAAGUGUUCCUCUCGGUUGUGGCUAAUUAACUUAUCAUAUGGUAGUGAAUUACCUUCUGGUGGCCCAACAUUUUGUUUAUUUUUUAAAAAUAAAAUUAGUACCAUUGUUUAUUUUGUGAAUGUACAGAAA